UGAAACCGGCGAAACGAUGUGUGUGAAAUGCAGGCACACCCUCCGCAGACAGGGCUGGAAAGAUAAGUACCACAAUGUCUACAUUUGUUUAUCUCCUCGUGAAAGAAUUUGGAUCGAGAUCAGGGAGAGGCAUUUUCCUGAAACGGAGAAAAUAAAACGCAACUCUUCGGAGCUCAUGUCCCCUGACGCUGACGUUUCUUGGCCCAGACCGCCAGCCCCUUGGGACAGGAACAUCACAAACACGUGUGAACAGCAUUCUAAAGCCCUCGCUAAUAGCAGUGCCAGGAAUCCAUCCUUCCGAUGUCCUGGACGGGCCAGGGAUGAUGAAUAUACAGGUUUAUUCAUUGCCGAGUGGUCGGUAAUAGAAACACACUGACAACACCACAGAUGCCUGUUAAAUAAGCCGCGUUCCCUCCUCGCGGUGGGGUUAGCGGGUAGCACUAAAAGCAGAACCCGGAGGCUCAUUGUACAGUGAGAGGAGAUGCGUCACCACAUUGUUGAAGCCGCGGCGGGGGACAAUGUUUAUAGCGUGUGCUACCAUCUGUGUUUAUAAAAAAAAA